UACGUAGGUGGCAAGCGUUGUCCGGAUUUAUUGGGUUUAAAGGGUGCGUAGGCGGUUCUAUAAGUCAGUGGUGAAAUCCGGCAGCUCAACUGUCGAUGUGCCAUUGAUACUGCAGAAUUUGAGUACAGACGAGGUAGGCGGAAUUGACGGUGUAGCGGUGAAAUGCUUAGAUAUCGUCAAGAACACCGAUAGCGAAGGCAGCUUACUAGACUGUAACUGACGCUGAUGCACGAAAGUGUGGGGAUCAAACAGG
rnacentral:rRNA from 1 species